rnacentral:rRNA from 1 species
CAGCAGCCACGGUAAUACGAAGGGGGCUAGCGUUGCUCGGAAUGACUGGGCGUAAAGGGCGCGUAGGCGGCGGCCAAAGUCAGGCGUGAAAUUCCCGGGCUCAACCUGGGGGCUGCGUUUGAUACUUGGUUGCUUGAGUGGGGAAGAGGGUCGUGGAAUUCCCAGUGUAGAGGUGAAAUUCGUAGAUAUUGGGAAGAACACCGGUGGCGAAGGCGGCGACCUGGUCCUUUACUGACGCUGAGGCGCGAAAGCGUGGGGAGCAAACAGGAUUAGAUACCCCAGUAGUCCCUGUCUCUUAUAC